rnacentral:rRNA from 1 species
ACGGAAGGCAGCAGUGGGGGAUAUUGCACAAUGGGGGAAACCCUGAUGCAGCGACGCCGCGUGAGUGAAGAAGUAUUUCGGUAUGUAAAGCUCUAUCAGCAGGGAAGAUAAUGACGGUACCUGACUAAGAAGCACCGGCUAAAUACGUGCCAGCAGCCGCGGUAAUACGUAUGGUGCAAGCGUUAUCCGGAUUUACUGGGUGUAAAGGGUGCGUAGGUGGUAUGGCAAGUCAGAAGUGAAAACACGGGGCUCAACCCCGUGACUGCUUUUGAAACUGUCAAACUAGAGUGCAGGAGAGGAAAGCGGAAUUCCUAGUGUAGCGGUGAAAUGCGUAGAUAUUAGGAGGAACACCAGUGGCGAAGGCGGCUUUCUGGACUGUAACUGACACUGAGGCACGAAAGCGUGGGGAUCGAACAGGAUUAGAUACCCUGGUA